rnacentral:rRNA from 1 species
CACGUAGGGGCCAAGCGUUGUCCGGAUUUAUUGGGCGUAAAGAGCUCGUAGGCGGUUCGACAAGUCGGGUGUGAAAACUCCGGGCUCAACCCGGAGACGCCACCCGAUACUGUCGUGACUGGAGUCCGGUAGGGGAGUGGGGAAUUCCUGGUGUAGCGGUGAAAUGCGCAGACAUCAGGAGGAACACCGGUGGCGAAGGCGCCACUCUGGGCCGGUACUGACGCUGAGGAGCGAAAGCGUGGGGAGCGAACAGG